rnacentral:rRNA from 1 species
AAUAGAUACCCUGGUAGUCCACGCCGUAAACGAUGUCGACUUGGAGGUUGUGCCCUUGAGGCGUGGCUUCCGGAGCUAACGCGUUAAGUCGACCGCCUGGGGAGUACGGCCGCAAGGUUAAAACUCAAAUGAAUUGACGGGGGCCCGCACAAGCGGUGGAGCAUGUGGUUUAAUUCGAUGCAACGCGAAGAACCUUACCUACUCUUGACAUCCAGAGAACUUAGCAGAGAUGCCUUGGUGCCUUCGGGAACUCUGAGACAGGUGCUGCAUGGCUGUCGUCAGCUCGUGUUGUGAAAUGUUGGGUUAAGUCCCGCAACGAGCGCAACCCUUAUCCUUUGUUGCCAGCGGUUAGGCCGGGAACUCAAAGGAGACUGCCAGUGAUAAACUGGAGGAAGGUGGGGAUGACGUCAAGUCAUCAUGGCCCUUACGAGUAGGGCUACACACGUGCUACAAUGGCAUAUACAAAGAGAAGCGACCUCGCGAGAGCAAGCGGACCUCAUAAAGUAUGUCGUAGUCCGGA